CACCAUUUGGUUAAUUACACAGAUAUUAAUAUAUGCAGGUCCUCUGACCAGAUUUUGUUCUUUUACUUGACUCUUUGUAGACUUGUCCCAUUGCUAUUGCCAAGACUGAGCAAUGCUGGUAAUCUCAGGCUGUUCCCUGAUAUGAUAAACUUUGUCUGAGAACAUCCAGGUUGUCCAGCUGUCCAAGCAUCUCUCUGACUUGCUUUCUUCCUGAAAAGCAUCACCUAAAGGCAAUCCCCCAUCAGCUGACUACAUAGACUAAAUGUAGAUGCUACAACUGUCCCUCUCCAGAGUGAGUUUCCACCCGCAUACAAACAUGAACUGGGAUUUGUCAGUUUUGUUUUAUUCUCUUGAACAUCCAUUGUUUAACUGA
rnacentral:lncRNA from 1 species